rnacentral:rRNA from 1 species
GGYUUUUCCUUCCGGCUCGCCCGAKGCGGCGGGACGGGKUGGAGUAAWACUUUAGGAAAUCCUACCCUAGKAAGUGGGGGGAUAGCACGGGAAACUCGUAUUUAAUACCGCAUACGACUACGGGAGAAAGGGGGGCAGUUACUGCUCUCGCUAUUUAAUGAGCCUAAKCGGAUUASUAGAUGGKGGGGGAAAGGGCCUACCUGGGSAACAAUCUGWASUGGGYCUGAAAGGAUGAUCASCCCCCCCGGGACUGAAACCCGGCCCGGACUCUACGGGGAGGMRGMRKGGGGGAAAUAUUGGAACAAUGGGGGGAAAACCCUGGAUCCRSCCAUGGCCGCGKGGKGKGAAGAAAGGCCUUUUUGGGUUGUAAAAGCACUUUUAAGCAGUGAAAGAAAGACUCCCRUGGGUUAAUACCCCAUGGGACGAUGACUUUAGCUGCAGAAUAAGCACCGGCUAACUCUGUGCCAGCAGCCGCGGGUAAUACAGAGGGUGCAAAGCGUUAAUCGGAAUUACUGGGCGUAAAGGGAGCGUAGGUGGCUCUAUAAGUCAGAUGUGAAAUCCCCGGKCUUAAYCUGGGAACUGCAUCUGAAACUGUAGAGCUAGAGUAUGUGAGAGGAAGGUAGAAUUCCAGGUGUAGCGGUGAAAUGCGUAGAGAUCUGGAGGAAUACCGAUGGCGAAGGCAGCCUUCUGGCAUAAUACUGACACUGAGGCUCGAAAGCGUGGGUAGCAACAGGAUUAGAUACCCUGGUAGUCCACGCCGUAACGAUGUCUACUAGUCGUUGGGUCCCUUGAGGACUUAGUGACGCAGCUAACGCAAUAAGUAGACCGCCUGGGGGAGUACGGGCCGCAAGGUUAAACUCAAAUGAAUUKGACGGGGGCC